GGGAAACGAGGUAGCUAAUACCGGAUAGAAAAGCAGAUCGCAUGAUCAGCUUUUAAAGGCGGCGUAAAGCUGUCGCUAUGGGGAUGGCCCCGCGGUGCAUUAGCUAGUUGGUAAGGUAAAGGCUUACCAAGGGCGAUGAUGCAUAGCCCGAGUUGAGAGACUGAUCGGCCACAUUGGGGACUGAGACACGGGCCCAAACUCCUACGGGAGGCAGCAGUAGGGAAUCUUCCACAAUGGACGCAAGUCUGAUGGAGCAAACGCCGCGUGAGUGAAGAAGGUUUUCGGAUCGUAAAGCUCUGUUGUUGGUGAAGAAGGAUAGAGGUAGUAACUGGCCCUUUAUUUGACGGUAAUCAACCAGAAAGUCACGGGCUAACUACGUGCCAGCAGCCGCGGUAAAU
rnacentral:rRNA from 1 species